rnacentral:rRNA from 1 species
AGCGAAAGCGAGUCUGAAUAGGGCGAGUUAGUACGUGGACGUAGACCCGAAACCGGGUGAUCUACCCCUGUCCAGGGUGAAGGUGCGGUAACACGCACUGGAGGCCCGAACCCACGCAUGUUGAAAAAUGCGGGGAUGAGGUGGGGGUAGCGGAGAAAUUCCAAUCGAACUCGGAGAUAGCUGGUUCUCCCCGAAAUAGCUUUAGGGCUAGCCUCGGAAAACAGAGUCGUGGAGGUAGAGCACUGAUUGGGUGCGGGGCCCGCAAGGGUUACCAAGCUCAGUCAAACUCCGAAUGCCAUAGACUUACUUCCGGGAGUCAGACAGUGAGUGCUAAGAUCCAUUGUCAAAAGGGAAACAGCCCAGACCAUCAGCUAAGGUCCCCAAGUGUGUGUUAAGUGGGAAAGGAUGUGGAGUUGCACAGACAACCAGGAUGUUGGCUUAGAAGCAGCCACCAUUGAAAGAGUGCGUAAUAGCUCACUGGUCGAGUGACUCUGCGCCGAAAAUGUAACGGGGCUAAACACACCACCGAAGCUAUGGCUUGAUGCUUUGCAUCAGGGGUAGGGGAGCGUUGUAUAAGGGUUGAAGGUGUACCGUAAGGAGCGCUGGACAUUAUACAAGUGAGAAUGCCGGUAUGAGUAACGAAAAGAUCAGUGAGAAUCUGAUCCGCCGAAAGCCUAAGGGUUCCUGAGGAAGGCUCGUCCGCUCAGGGUAAGUCGGGACCUAAGGCGAGGCCGAAAGGCGUAGUCGAAGGACAACAGGUCGAAAUUCCUGUACCACCGUAAGCCGUUAUGAGCAAUGGGGGGACGCAGUAGGGUAGUGACGCGGACUGAUGGAUGUCCGUCUAAGCAGUAAGGCUGAUGUGUAGGCAAAUCCGCACAUUGUAAGGCUGAGCUGUGAUGGGGAGCGAAAAUUAUAGUAGCGAAGGUCAUGAUCUCACACUGCCAAGAAAAGCCUCUAGCCAGGUGAUGGUGCCCGUACCGCAAACCGACACAGGUAGGCGAGAAGAGUAUUCUAAGGCGCGCGGAAGAACUCUCGUUAAGGAACUCGGCAAAAUGACCCCGUAACUUCGGGAGAAGGGGUGCCCCGGUAGUGUGAAUAGCACGAGGGGGCCGCAGUGAAAAGGCCCAAGCGACUGUUUAGCAAAAACACAGGUCUGUGCGAAGCCGUAAGGCGAAGUAUACGGGCUGACGCCUGCCCGGUGCUGGAAGGUUAAGGGGAGUGGUUAGGAGCAAUCCGAAGCUGUGAACCGAAGCCCCAGUAAACGGCGGCCGUAACUAUAACGGUCCUAAGGUAGCGAAAUUCCUUGUCAGGUAAAUUCUGACCCGCACGAAUGGCGUAACGACUUGGGCGCUGUCUCAACGAGAGAUCCGGUGAAAUUUUAAUACCUGUGAAGAUGCAGGUUACCCGCGACAAGACGGAAAGACCCCAUGGAGCUUUACUGCAGCUUGAUAUUGAAUUUGGGUACGAUCUGUACAGGAUAGGUGGGAGCCUUUGAAG